GAGGGUAUAGCUCAGUGGUGGAGCCCAUGCUUAGCAUGCAUGAGGUCCUGGGUUUCGAUUCCCAGUACCUCCA
rnacentral:tRNA from 1 species